GUAACAUGGAUUGCUUGCAAUCUGAUGACGAGUGGCGCACGGGUGCGUAACGCGUAUGCAAUCUACCUUUUACAGGAGAAUAGCCCAGAGAAAUUUGGAAUAAUGCUCCAUAAUAUCAUUUAUCAGCAUUGGUUUAUGAUUAAAGCUCCGGCGGUAAAAGAGGAGCAUGCGUUCUAUUAGCUAGUAGGUGAGGUAACGGCUCACCUAGGCUACGAUAGAUAGGGGCCCUGAGAGGGGGAUCCCCCACACUGGUACUGAGACACGGACCAGACUCCUACGGGAGGCAGCAGUGAGGAAUAUUGGACAAUGGAGGAAACUCUGAUCCAGCCAUGCCGCGUGCAGGAUGACUGCCCUAUGGGUUGUAAACUGCUUUUAUAUAGGAAGAAACACUCCCACGUGUGGGGGCUUGACGGUACUAUAUGAAUAAGGAUCGGCUAACUCCGUGCCAGCAGCCGCGGUAAUACGGAGGAUCCAAGCGUUAUCCGGAAUCAUUGGGUUUAAAGGGUCCGCAGGCGGCCUGUUAAGUCAGAGGUGAAAUCCUACAGCUCAACUGUAGAACUGCCUUUGAUACUGAUAGGCUUGAGUUAUUGUGAAGUGGUUAGAAUGUGUGGUGUAGCGGUGAAAUGCUUAGAUAUCACACAGAAUACCCAUUGCGAAGGCAGAUCACUAACAAUAUACUGACGCUCAUGGACGAAAGCGUGGGGAGCGAACGGGAUUAGAUACCCCGGUAGUCCACGCCGUAAACGAUGGAUACUAACUGUUCGACCUUCGGGUUGAGUGGUCAAGCGAAAGUGAUAAGUAUCCCACCUGGGGAGUACG
rnacentral:rRNA from 1 species